rnacentral:rRNA from 1 species
AUACGGAGGGUGCAAGCGUUACUCGGAAUCACUGGGCGUAAAGCGCGCGCAGGCGGCUAUUUAAGUUGGAUGUGAAAGCCUACGGCUCAACCGUAGAACUGCAUCCAAAACUAUUUAGCUAGAGUGUGGGAGAGGAAGAUGGAAUUAGUUGUGUAGGGGUAAAAUCCGUAGAGAUAACUAGGAAUACCAAAAGCGAAGGCAAUCCUCUGGAACACUACUGACGCUGAGGCGCGAAAGCGUGGGGAGCAAACAGGAUUAGAAACCCUAGUAGUCC